AGGGUUUGAUCCUGGCUCAGAAUGAACGUUGGCGGCGUGGAUUAGGCAUGCAAGUCGAGCGCGAUACACAAUCAAGAUACUUCGGUUGAUUGGUUGUGUGGAAAGCGGCGAAAGGGAGAGUAACGAGUAGAUACGUACCCAAGGGUUCGGGAUAGCCAUGCGAAAGCGUGAGUAAUACCGAAUAAUGUCUCCGGACCAAAGAUUUAUUGCCCUUGGAGCGGUCUGCUUACUAUUAGGUAGUUGGUAGGGUAAGAGCCUACCAAGCCUUAGAUGGUUAGCGGGUGUGAGAGCAUGGCCCGUCUCACUGGAACUGAGACACUGUCCAGACACCUACGGGUGGCUGCAGUCGAGAAUCUUCCGCAAUGGACGAAAGUCUGACGGAGCGACGCCGCGUGAUGGACGAAGGCCCUCGGGUUGUAAACAUCUGUCGUAGGGGAGGAAAUUUUGACCGAUCCUAGGAGGAAGCACAGGCUAAGUUCGUGCCAGCAGCCGCGGUAAUACGAACUGUGCAAACGUUAUUCGGAAUCACUGGGCUUAAAGGGUGCGUAGGCGGGUUUAUAGGUCAGAUGUGAAAGCCCACGGCUCAACCGUGGAAUUGCGUUUGAAACCAUAAGCCUUGAGGGGAUCAGAGGAGAGCGGAACUGAUGGUGGAGCGGUGAAAUGCGUUGAUAUCAUCAGGAACACCGGUGGCGAAAGCGGCUCUCUGGGAUCUUUCUGACGCUGAGGCACGAAAGCUAGGGGAGCGAACGGGAUUAGAUACCCCGGUAGUCCUAGCUGUAAACGAUCUGUACUAGUCCGUGGGGCCUCCCACAGUUUCUCGGACGUAGCGAAAGUGUUAAGUACAGCGCCUGGGGAGUAUGGUCGCAAGGCUGAA
rnacentral:rRNA from 1 species